AAUACUAUUCGAUACAUCCAAUGAACCCAUCUCUUUCUUUUUGCCUCUUAAAGAUUCAUUCCCCCAAAAUCCUCUCUUUCACUCCUAAAAUCCAAAUCCAGAAACCUAAUUUCUUUCAACUCCUUAUAGAUUCAUCUCAAGAACAGUUGCUAAUCUUCCCCAAAUUCCAAAGUCAAUUUUAUGCUCGAAUCGGAGAAGCCGUCCAAACGAAUGUGUGAAUAACAAAAGAGGAAACUCAUAAAAAAGGUCUAUUGUGGAGAUUCUGAUAGACAUGAGUCAAGAAAGAUCAUCAAAGCCCAAAAAAAAGACAAGCGCGACAUACACAAAACCUGGAACUAUGGCAUCUUUGGCAAACCAAAUAAGGAGUUCGUUUAGCCAAAAAUAUGGUGCUCCCGCUAGACAAUCAAACAAAGAGCGUCCGGAUAUUAUUGAAGAGAAUCUGCCAUAAUAUCCAGGAGUAGUAGCCCAUGUACAAACUAGAUCAACCACUCCUGCAAAAUAUGUUGUUCCUGCUAAAUAAUCAACAAAAGAGCGCCCGAAUAUCAUUGAAGAGAAUUUUCUUCUGCCACAAUAUUCAGGAGUAGCAGCACAUGUACAAACUAGAUCAACUACUCGUGCCACACAAGUAAUAGAUGAACAAGUGGAGGAACAAGUUCAGUUGGAUUCUACAACUCAUAUUGCAGAUGAAUAAUGUGAAGAACAAGGACCUUCUAUUCAAACAAGAAAAAGAGGUAGAACAAAGAUGAAAAAUGUACAUGGAAGCGGGGAGCGUAAAGUGAUUUUACUUAACAACUUAAAUCAACCCGUUGGUCCUAGUGAUGAAGUUGUUAUAGAGUUUGGAAGCUUCCUCGACACAUUGGCAAGGAAUGCGACUCUAUGUCCUCUUGAUAUUUUGGAUUGGAGGAAGAUGGUCACAAAAGAGGAUAUAUGAAAAUAUACCAAGGAUAAAUAUGAUAUUCCUGAAGCUGAAAAAAAUGAACUUUGAAAUCAGUACAAGCUGCCUUGAAAAAAGAUCACUUUGACGCCUAUCACAAUGAUGAAACUCAAAUGCAACAUAUCCCUGAAGAUGUUCUAGCUUCUCAGUUUAAGGAACUCCUUAGGUAUUGGAACUCAGAGAAACUCCAGGUAUGUGGCACCCAAGGGUGUGGCCUAGUGGUCAAUGAAGUGGGUGAGAACCAUGAGGUCUCAGGUUCAAAUCCUAGCGGAGGCAAAUACUAGGUGAUUUAUUCCCAUCUAUCUAAGCCUUGAUGGAUAGAGUUAUCUGGUACCUGUUGCUGGUGGGAGGUGGCAGGUAUCCCGUGAAAUUAGUUGAGGUGUGCGCAAGCUGGCUCGGAAACAACGGUUAUCAAAAAAAAAAAAAAAAGAAAC